CCUACGGGAGGCUGCAGUGAGGAAUAUUGGUCAAUGGACGAGAGUCUGAACCAGCCAAGUAGCGUGAAGGAUGACUGCCCUAUGGGUUGUAAACUUCUUUUAUAAAGGAAUAAAACGAGGCACGUGUGCCUCUUUGCAUGUACUUUAUGAAUAAGGAUCGGCUAACUCCGUGCCAGCAGCCGCGGUAAUACGGAGGAUCCGAGCGUUAUCCGGAUUUAUUGGGUUUAAAGGGAGCGUAGGUGGGUUGUUAAGUCAGUUGUGAAAGUUUGCGGCUCAACCGUAAAAUUGCAAUUGAUACUGGCAGUCUUGAGUACAGUUGAGGUAGGCGGAAUUCGUGGUGUAGCGGUGAAAUGCUUAGAUAUCACGAAGAACCCCGAUUGCGAAGGCAGCUUACUAAACUGUGACUGACAUUGAUGCUCGAAAGUGUGGGUAUCAAACAGGAUUAGAUACCCUGGUAGUC
rnacentral:rRNA from 1 species